UCAGACGUUUGCUCUUCUGAACUGCGAUGUGAUUUCUGCCCAGUGCUUUGAAUGUCAAAGUGAAGAAAUUCAAUGAAGCGCGGGUAAACAGUGGGAGUAA